rnacentral:rRNA from 1 species
CUUCCGCAAUGGACGCAAGUCUGACGGAGCAACGCCGCGUGAGUGAGGAAGGUUUUCGGAUCGUAAAGCUCUGUUACCAGGGAAGAACGCUUAAGAGAGGAACUACUCUUAAGGUGACGGUACCUGAGAAGAAAGCCCCGGCUAACUACGUGCCAGCAGCCGCGGUAAUACGUAGGGGGCAAGCGUUGUCCGGAAUUAUUGGGCGUAAAGCGCGCGCAGGCGGUCAUUUAAGUUUGGGGUAUAAGCCCGAGGCUCAACCUCGGAUCGCCCUGAAAACUGGGUGACUGGAGUGCAGGAGAGGGAAGCGGAAUUCCACGUGUAGCGGUGAAAUGCGUAGAUAUGUGGAGGAACACCAGUGGCGAAGGCGGCUUCCUGGCCUGUAACUGACGCUGAGGCGCGAAAGCGUGGGGAGCGAACAGG